GAUGAACGCUGACGGCGUGCCUAAUACAUGCAAGUCGAGCGAACGGACGAGAAGCUUGCUUCUCUGAUGUUAGCGGCGGACGGGUGAGUAACACGUGGAUAACCUACCUAUAAGACUGGGAUAACUUCGGGAAACCGGAGCUAAUACCGGAUAAUAUUUUGAACCGCAUGGUUCAAAAGUGAAAGACGGUCUUGCUGUCACUUAUAGAUGGAUCCGCGCUGCAUUAGCUAGUUGGUAAGGUAACGGCUUACCAAGGCAACGAUGCAUAGCCGACCUGAGAGGGUGAUCGGCCACACUGGAACUGAGACACGGUCCAGACUCCUACGGGAGGCAGCAGUAGGGAAUCUUCCGCAAUGGGCGAAAGCCUGACGGAGCAACGCCGCGUGAGUGAUGAAGGUCUUCGGAUCGUAAAACUCUGUUAUUGGGGAAGAACAUAUGUGUAAGUAACUGUGCACAUCUUGACGGUACCUAAUCAGAAAGCCACGGCUAACUACGUG
rnacentral:rRNA from 1 species